CCCGUCCGCCUUUUUCCGCGCAGCAGCCCGGGGGUCCUUUGCAUCCCCGCUCAAAAGCAGGGAGGCACCCACGCACCUCGCUCAGAGCAGAGACCAGAAUCCAGGCGGCUGGCCGGAGGUUGGGCCCCGCGCCCUCGGCGUCCCCUGCACCCUCCAGGCCCCCCACGCGCCCUCGACCUCCAGCCGCCCCUCCGAGGCUCUGGAGCUGCCUCAUAGGAAGUAAACCUAGAGGGAAAGGUCAGGAGGGAUGGGAAGAGCCCCCGGCCACCUGGGAGACGGGGGAGGGCGGGAAAGAAACCAUCAACAUAGAGCAAGCCCAGGGUGGAGCUCACGUGGGUUCGUGGUGUUGACACUGCAAGCUGGAGAGGCGGGGAGAGAGGAGCCCGGGAGAGGAGAGGCAGGGUUCCUCUUUUAGCCAGAGGAGCCCAAAGUGACAGGAGGACGUGGCCGCAGCCAGGGUUCAGGGGCUCCAGCCACGCCGCACGCCGGGGAUGUCACCAACACCCACUUAGGCCAUGGGAAGCCAUCAGCUUCCAGAUUCUGAACACAGAGUUUUAUGGUACCCUUGACAAGAGCAGUUGUAAAGAAGCAUUUAAGUAAGCAUUUUCCCCGGGUGAGGAGAAUCGGCACAGCUUGAGGUGUGAGACACUGGUACUUCUGUGCAAAACCCGCCCUGUGGACAGUGGGUUUGUGGUAUCCUAAGGCUGGGAAGGCAUCUCGGAGGUUUUCUCCUUGCUGCAAAAACGCCUGUCACUGCCCAGGAUACAUAUUUUGACCUCAUCCUUCCUAUUAGAAACUCAGGCGGUCCCGCCCCGUUGGCAGCCAGAGACCUCAGGGUGGCGCCUGGUGGAGGGACCUGCUGGGGAGGUUACCCUUCCUCAGGGCACCCACCAUCCCCGGCGUAGGUCUACAGGGUCCUCCCUGAGGAGCCAGGGCCGGGCUCAUCUGUGUCACAUCAUGCCUGCUGCUCUGCUGUCGCACUGGAGCGGCAGAGGCAGAGCCCGCCCCACCCUGCAGCUCCGUGUGACCCCGGCUGUGACCUCCCGGGUGGGUGGCCCUGCCGCAGGAGAGCCACUUUCAGAGAUGCCCUGAGUGAUCGUCACCAGCUGCAUCCUGCAAACUUCAUCUUGCUGUCCCUGUGGCUUGGAGAGCCCAGUCAGCUUUGCUUGUAAACAUACAUGUUACUUACAGUUGUAUUUGGUCAUGCCAGAUGAAAUUACUGUUUUUAGAGGUCAAAGUGAGCAAGUAGCAACUUUAUAUGGUUCCAGCUAAUAUUUAUGUUACAUUUAUGUUCUGAUGAAACACUUUUGUGCUACUGACCCAUUUUUGUGGAUGACUGCAGAAAAUAUACUGAAACUUAAUGAUGACAAUGAAAACCUCAAACCUAAAUGUAAAAUAAAAAACAUGAAAAAAUGGUGGC
rnacentral:lncRNA from 10 species